CCUACGCGAGGCAGCAGUGAGGAAUAUUGGUCAAUGGACGAGAGUCUGAACCAGCCAAGUAGCGUGAAGGAUGACUGCCCUAUGGGUUGUAAACUUCUUUUAUAUGGGAAUAAAAUGUUCCACGUGUGGGAUUUUGUAUGUACCAUAUGAAUAAGGAUCGGCUAACUCCGUGCCAGCAGCCGCGGUAAUACGGAGGAUCCGAGCGUUAUCCGGCUUUAUUUGGUUUACAGGGAGCGUAGGUGGAUUGUUAAGUCAGUUGUGAAAGUUUGCGGCUCAACCGUAAAAUUGCAGUUGAAACUGGCAGUCUUGAGGACAGUAGAGGUGGGCGGAAUUCGUGGUGUAGCGGUGAAAUGCUUAGAUAUCACGAAGAACUCCGAUUGCGAAGGCAGCUCACUGGACUGCAACUGACACUGAGGCUCGAAAGUGUGGGUAUCAAACAGGAUUAGAUACCCUGGUAGUC
rnacentral:rRNA from 1 species